GGAUGCCAAAGUGGCAGGAGGUCCCUCAUGGCAGCAGCCGAACUCCGCUCCGCCGGUUUCACUGGCGUGACCGACAUCGCCGGAGGGUUUUUGGCUUGGAAGGAGAACGAGCUGCCGAUCAACCAGUGAUGUCGUCAACUUCUCUGAAUGUGUCUCAAACAUUAUAUAAUCUGUCUUUAGGCGCGCUGCUCUGCUCCAAGGUUGUAACCGGUAUGGUCGUCUUGAUCUCGGAUUCAAGACGGCACGAAUAGUUAAUGGAGCUUCAUAUAAUUGUUCUAGGAUAUGUGCAAAAUGUUGGCACAAUUAGAGAUUAUGAGCCUGUUCAGUUUUCCUUUC